rnacentral:rRNA from 1 species
AACGAACGCUGGCGGCAUGCCUAACACAUGCAAGUCGAACGAGACCUUCGGGUCUAGUGGCGCACGGGUGCGUAACGCGUGGGAACCUACCCUUAGGUUCGGAAUAACUCCCCGAAAGGUAUGCUAAUACCGGAUAAUGUCUUCGGACCAAAGAUUUAUCGCCUUUGGAUGGGCCCGCGUUGGAUUAGCUAGUUGGUAGGGUAAAAGCAUGCCAAGGCGAGGAUCCAUAGCUGGUCUGAGAGGAUGAUCAGGCACACUGGGACUGAGACACGGCCCAGACUGCUACGGGAGGCAGCAGUGGGGAGUAUUGGACAAUGGGCGAAAGCCUGAUCCAGCAAUGCCGCGUGAGUGAUGAAGGGCUUAGGGUUGUAAAGCUCUUUUACACGGGAUGAUAAUGACAGUACCGGGAGAAUAAGCUCCGGCUAACUCCGUG